rnacentral:rRNA from 1 species
UACAGAGGGUGCAAGCGUUAAUCGGAAUUACUGGGCGUAAAGCGUGCGUAGGCGGUCUGUUGCGUCGGGAGUGAAAACUUACAGCUUAACUGUGAGCGUGCUUUCGAUACGGGCAGACUUGAGGCAUUCAGGGGAGAACGGAAUUCCUGGUGUAGCGGUGAAAUGCGCAGAUAUCAGGAGGAACACCGGUGGCGAAGGCGGUUCUCUGGGAAUGUCCUGACGCUGAGGAGCGAAAGUGUGGGGGAGCGAACAGG